rnacentral:rRNA from 1 species
GUUAAGCGACUAAGCGUACACGGUGGAUGCCCUGGCAGUCAGAGGCGAUGAAGGACGUGCUAAUCUGCGAUAAGCGUCGGUAAGGUGAUAUGAACCGUUAUAACCGGCGAUUUCCGAAUGGGGAAACCCAGUGUGUUUCGACACACUAUCAUUAACUGAAUCCAUAGGUUAAUGAGGCGAACCGGGGGAACUGAAACAUCUAAGUACCCCGAGGAAAAGAAAUCAACCGAGAUUCCCCCAGUAGCGGCGAGCGAACGGGGAGCAGCCCAGAGCCUGAAUCAGUGUGUGUGUUAGUGGAAGCGUCUGGAAAGGCGCGCGAUACAGGGUGACAGCCCCGUACACAAAAAUGCACAUGCUGUGAGCUCGAUGAGUAGGGCGGGACACGUGGUAUCCUGUCUGAAUAUGGGGGGACCAUCCUCCAAGGCUAAAUACUCCUGACUGACCGAUAGUGAACCAGUACCGUGAGGGAAAGGCGAAAAGAACCCCGGCGAGGGGAGUGAAAAAGAACCUGAAACCGUGUACGUACAAGCAGUGGGAGCACGCUUAGGCGUGUGACUGCGUACCUUUUGUAUAAUGGGUCAGCGACUUAUAUUCUGUAGCAAGGUUAACCGAAUAGGGGAGCCGAAGGGAAACCGAGUCUUAACUGGGCGUUAAGUUGCAGGGUAUAGACCCGAAACCCGGUGAUCUAGCCAUGGGCAGGUUGAAGGUUGGGUAACACUAACUGGAGGACCGAACCGACUAAUGUUGAAAAAUUAGCGGAUGACUUGUGGCUGGGGGUGAAAGGCCAAUCAAACCGGGAGAUAGCUGGUUCUCCCCGAAAGCUAUUUAGGUAGCGCCUCGUGAAUUCAUCUCCGGGGGUAGAGCACUGUUUCGGCAAGGGGGUCAUCCCGACUUACCAACCCGAUGCAAACUGCGAAUACCGGAGAAUGUUAUCACGGGAGACACACGGCGGGUGCUAACGUCCGUCGUGAAGAGGGAAACAACCCAGACCGCCAGCUAAGGUCCCAAAGUCAUGGUUAAGUGGGAAACGAUGUGGGAAGGCCCAGACAGCCAGGAUGUUGGCUUAGAAGCAGCCAUCAUUUAAAGAAAGCGUAAUAGCUCACUGGUCGAGUCGGCCUGCGCGGAAGAUGUAACGGGGCUAAACCAUGCACCGAAGCUGCGGCAGCGACGCUUAUGCGUUGUUGGGUAGGGGAGCGUUCUGUAAGCCUGCGAAGGUGUGCUGUGAGGCAUGCUGGAGGUAUCAGAAGUGCGAAUGCUGACAUAAGUAACGAUAAAGCGGGUGAAAAGCCCGCUCGCCGGAAGACCAAGGGUUCCUGUCCAACGUUAAUCGGGGCAGGGUGAGUCGACCCCUAAGGCGAGGCCGAAAGGCGUAGUCGAUGGGAAACAGGUUAAUAUUCCUGUACUUGGUGUUACUGCGAAGGGGGGACGGAGAAGGCUAUGUUGGCCGGGCGACGGUUGUCCCGGUUUAAGCGUGUAGGCUGGUUUUCCAGGCAAAUCCGGAAAAUCAAGGCUGAGGCGUGAUGACGAGGUACUACGGUGCUGAAGCAACAAAUGCCCUGCUUCCAGGAAAAGCCUCUAAGCAUCAGGUAACAUCAAAUCGUACCCCAAACCGACACAGGUGGUCAGGUAGAGAAUACCAAGGCGCUUGAGAGAACUCGGGUGAAGGAACUAGGCAAAAUGGUGCCGUAACUUCGGGAGAAGGCACGCUGAUAUGUAGGUGAAGUCCCUUGCGGAUGGAGCUGAAAUCAGUCGAAGAUACCAGCUGGCUGCAACUGUUUAUUAAAAACACAGCACUGUGCAAACACGAAAGUGGACGUAUACGGUGUGACGCCUGCCCGGUGCCGGAAGGUUAAUUG